rnacentral:tRNA from 3 species
GCGCCAUUAGCUCAACUGGAAAGAGCAAUAGGCUUCUAAGCUAUCCGUUUCAGGUCCGAAUCCUGAAUGGUGCGCCA